GUGCACACGCUCUGGUACCGGGAGGGAGGCGCCAUCGCUUCAUGUUUGGGGAGGUGAUCGGAGGGGGACGGCGGGGGAAGCGCGAGGUCGAGGUUGUGGUGGCGGCGGGGCGCUGGAUGCGGUUCGGGCUUGUGGAGUUAUUACAGAAGAGACAAGUAGCAUGAGGCCUGGAGGUUGCCUAACGGAACCUGAAAUUCCAAUUAGAUUAUUGCAGACAGUGCAUCUGAUGAAGAUACAAGGGUGUUUGUGCAAUUCUUGCUGACAGUUUAUGUCAAUUCUCCUUCAGUCAGCUGAUGGAUAAAAAUAGAGAUCAAUUCUGGCAACAUGGAGUGUCUUUCUGUAAUAGCUUCCCUCUGCUAUUCUUUGCUCAGUGAAUGCCAUCGUAAUUGUUUAUGAGUUAGUGCUGGAUCAUAUUAUUUUGGGGAUGAACUUCUCAAGUCCUGCUCUUACAGAGUAAACUCAUCUUUCAACUUGGAUUCUGGAAGAACACAUCAAUGUGAACAAGACUUCAUUUGAGGAUGGUCUGGUGACCAAGUUUCUGCUGUUGCUUCUACUUAUCAACAGAUCAUCAACCCUGGUAUUUCUUCUCAAUAUAAAAGCUUGGAAUUAAUUUGCUCCAAAUAAGGCCAAAGAGCUGACUUGGCUGGUGGUGAAAAAUAGAAUCAACUCCAUAGUCAAGUUAAGAUAAAUGGUUCAUCUCCAGAAUGAAAAUAAUGUAUUGUGCACAGAUGCAGUUUUUGAAACAAAUCGAGAAGUCAUUAUUUUUUGGCAAUGAAUAGCUAUCCUGGAACUUUAAAGUCUUUCAAAAAGGUGGCAAAGUUGGGAAAUUCCUUAUGUCUAGCUUGGGUAAUCAUUUAGAAAGCAAACCCUGGUAUAUAUUCCGGGGAUGAAUAGUGGAAUUCUGAUAAGCUCUUUACAUCUUGAAUAGAAUGUAUUAUGUUUUAGAGCCUUAGAAGUAACUCACUGGACGAAAUAUGAUUAGAAGAAUGCUCAUGGAGCUUCGGUGAAGCUUCAAUGGAGUUAUCUGUUUCUUCUUUUGAACAUGGAAUUCUGAUUGUCUCUUAGUUUUGUUGGAGGCAGCAUUGCUUUUGAGAUGGUAGAAACUCUCUGAAUUAUUAGAACUCCUGCUUUCUUUUUCUAAUAUACCAAGUCAACUAUUGUUCGCUAGAAUUUUUUUACAAAAAAAUAAUAAAAAAGGAAAGUAGUUAGUGCUAACAUGCAUUUGAAAAUUUUAAUAGCUUGUGGAGCAUUGCUUUCAAUCUCUUGUGGUAAUUUCUGGGAUCACCCUUCACAUCCACCAGGUCUCCAUAAUCUCAUCAUUCAAGAAUUUUGAUAGUACCCAAUUGAAUCUUAUGUUUGUGACCAUCUGAAUGUAUAAAAAUGUAGGAUUGGUGAUUGAAACUUGAUAUUGUUUUUUUUUUUUUCCUUUCUGUUCUCUAUAGCGGUUUUGAUACCCUAACCAUAAAUUGUUAGCUGAAUUAUCGAAUAUCGACCUGUAUGCCUUUCAUCUAUGUCUAAUACUAAUAAUUUCUAGUCUUUGCUUGAUUUGUUGUCCAAUUUCCUACCUAUUCUCUGAGAUAUCAUUGCAUUACACGUUGAAAUAAAACUAUGCCUUCACAAACUGUAGAUUUUAUUUACUUUUCUUUUUUUAUCUCAGCAUUUGAUUGAUAUGUUGCAAACACUACUAUCAUUUAGUUAUUGUUUGUUGAAUAAGAUUCUAAAGAACUCUCUGUUUGGUCUAUAUGAUACAUUAAUUCCACAGAAGAAUGAUAUUUAUUUGCUUCAGAACAAACUUCUGCUUUGAAUUAUAUAUGAUUCCGAUAGCUCGAGUAUGGAAAUUAUAUCAUGCGAGCUGGAGAACUAUAGAACUCCUAGAUUUUAUUAUCUAACAAAGCAUUUUGCAGAAAUCACUGGAAAAAAGUGCAGUCUGUAAAAUUGUCACAUGGUUCAGUCUCAGAUUUUGAUUGGCAUUACCAAUUUGAAAGAUGCAUCUCACCCUGCUCCAUCAGAUGAUCUUUGAUGUCACGAAGGUAUGUGUUCCUGUUCCAUUCCAUGAAAACAAAUUGAGGUUGCUUCAAUUAAAACGAAAGGUACAUCCUUACAUUCAAACCCGCACGACAAUACAUGCUUUCUUAAUCAAACUGAUCGAAAUAAUGAAUGUAUGCAAACAUUGAAAUUAACAUCUAACAUGGAUAAACUCUCUGAUAUGUUCUCAGAACUUGGCCUGAAUUUUAUCAAUUGUCUCCUUGCUUACUUGGAAGGCCUUUGCAAGUACAUCAUCAAGGAUUGGCGGUGUCGAUCCAAAGACAGCAUUGGCAACAGUGAUAACACCAGGGUUUUGGCUGCUGAGCCCGGCAAUGGCCACGGCACUGGCAGCCCAGUUGUUGUAUUGAUAGUGUAUGAGGCCUUGAGGGAACACAUACACAUCUCCCUUGUUAAGAACCUUGGUGUAGUGCUUGUUCUCAGGGUUUGAGGUUACAAAGCCGACAAGGAUAGUGCCUUCCAACACCACAAGGACCUCAGUGGCACGCGGGUGGGUGUGUGGUGGAUUGAGUCCAAAGGGAGCAUAGUCGAUGCGGACUAAGGAGAUGCCGUAUGUAUUCAACCCAGGAAUCUGAACCACAUUGACAGGGGUCACCUUGGAACCAACCGCAUUCGAAGUGUUACCAGCCUUGUCAAGGCCACUGAAGAAGAAAUCAUCAACGGUGACCCUCUUCGAGUCCUUACAUGGGAGGCCAUUAACCAAAGCUGCACGAGAUGAUAUGCAUUAGUGACUCAAUAUAUUUGGAUUCGACAAAUGCAUGAUAAUCACCUGUCGAAUUCUCAUCGGCAACACAAAAAUCUUGGAGCUGGCCGGGAUCAGAAGCCAUGGCAGUUAUGGAGGCCAAGGCAAUGAGGGCGACGGAGAUGAUGUAGCUCGCCAUCUCUCUACUCUCUCUUGCCUAGUAAGAGACACUGCUUACUAAUGGAUGAGUUAAAGAGUAUUUAUAGAUUUUUUGAACUGUUCAUCUCUUCAGCAACUCCGGACGGCACAGAUCCUCCUCAAAUUGUUUAUGGAAUUAUAGAGUGAAUUAGACUUGCUCCAACUGUUGUAUUAUCAUGGACGUUGUCCGGCAAUGGCCAAGUCUUGAUGAGUUGCGGGGGAGAAAUUCAUUGAUUUUAUUUUCAUGCCGUGGGUUCUUGCCAUGUGUAAGAGUUGAGUACCAACCUUGUAUUAUUUUAAUAUGAUAUGCCCGGCCCAGCAAGGAAGUUAACAGGCUGAGUGUUUGGCCCGGCCCA